AUGAAACUGUUAUGUUGGAACUGCCGGGGGCUUGGUGACGCCACGGCGGUUCGUGCUUUGUUGGAUGUCCAGCGAAGCUCCAGCCCAGAUGUGAUGUUUUUGUCGGAGACACACUUAGAAAGCUAUCAGGCAGAGUGUUUGUGGAGGAGAUUGAGAAUGGAUCAGAAGUUGGUAUGCGCUGGAGAUGGAAGGAAAGGUGGGCUGAUGUUA
rnacentral:rRNA from 1 species